rnacentral:rRNA from 1 species
GAUGAACGCUGGCGGCGUGCCUAAUACAUGCAAGUCGAGCGAACAGACGAGGGGCUUGCUCCUCGGACGUUAGCGGCGGACGGGGGAGUAACACGUGGAUAACCUACCUAUAAGGCUGGGAUAACUUCGGGAAACCGGAGCUAAUACCGGAUAAUAUAUUGAACCGCAUGGUUCAAUAGUGAAAGACGGUUUUGCUGUCACUUAUAGAUGGAUCCGCGCCGCAUUAGCUAGUUGGUAAGGUAACGGCUUACCAAGGCAACGAUGCGUAGCCGACCUGAGAGGGUGAUCGGCCACACUGGAACUGAGACACGGUCCAGACUCCUACGGGAGGCAGCAGUAGGGAAUCUUCCGCAAUGGGCGAAAGCUUGACGGAGCAACGCCGCGUGAGUGAUGAAGGUCUUCGGAUCGUAAAACUCUGUUAUUAGGGAAGAACAAAUGUGUAAGUAACUAUGCACGUCUUGACGGUACCUAAUCAGAAAGCCACGGCUAACUACGUG